GCCUGGCUGGCUCAGUCAGUGGAGCAUGUGACUCUUGCUCUUGAGGUUGUGAGUUCAAGCCCCACGUUGGGUG
rnacentral:tRNA from 1 species